rnacentral:rRNA from 1 species
UACGAAGGGUGCAAACGUUGCUCGGAAUUAUUGGGCGUGAAGCGCACGUAGGCGGCUUAGCAAGUCGGAAGUGAAAGCCCUUGGCUCAACCAAGGAAGUGCUUUCGAAACUGCUGAGCUUGAGUAGUUAAGAGGAUCGCGGAAUUCCCGGUGUAGAGGUGAAAUUCGUAGAUAUCGGGAGGAACACCAGUGGCGAAGGCGGCGAUCUGGGAACAUACUGACGCUGAGGUGCGAAAGCGUGGGGAGCAAACAGG